rnacentral:rRNA from 1 species
CUUGGGAUCCUUAGUAACGGCGAGUGAAGCGGUAAAAGCUCAAAUUUGAAAUCUGGUACUUUCAGUGCCCGAGUUGUAAUUUGUAGAAUUUGUCUUUGAUUAGGUCCUUGUCUAUGUUCCUUGGAACAGGACGUCAUAGAGGGUGAGAAUCCCGUUUGGCGAGGAUACCUUUUCUCUGUAAGACUUUUUCGAAGAGUCGAGUUGUUUGGGAAUGCAGCUCAAAGUGGGUGGUAAAUUCCAUCUAAAGCUAAAUAUUGGCGAGAGACCGAUAGCGAACAAGUACAGUGAUGGAAAGAUGAAAAGAACUUUGAAAAGAGAGUGAAAAAGUACGUGAAAUUGUUGAAAGGGAAGGGCAUUUGAUCAGACAUGGUGUUUUUUGCAUGCACUCGCCUCUCGUGGGCUUGGGCCUCUCAAAAAUUUCACUGGGCCAACAUCAAUUCUGGCAGUAGGAUAAAUCAUUAAGAAUGUAGCUACCUCGGUAGUGUUAUAGCUUAUUGGAAUACUGCUAGCUGGGAUUGAGGACUGCGCUUCGGCAAGGAUGUUGGCAUAAUGGUUAAAUGCCGC